rnacentral:rRNA from 1 species
GAUGAACGCUGGCGGCGUGCUUAACACAUGCAAGUCGAACGGAAAGGCCCAAGCUUGCUUGGGUACUCGAGUGGCGAACGGGUGAGUAACACGUGGGUGAUCUGCCCUGCACUUCGGGAUAAGCCUGGGAAACUGGGUCUAAUACUGGAUAGGACCACUUCUUGGAUGGUGUGGUGGAAAGUUUUUUCGGUGUGGGAUGAGCUCGCGGCCUAUCAGCUUGUUGGUGGGUAAUGGCCUACCAAGGCGUCGACGGGUAGCCGGCCUGAGAGGGUGUACGGCCACAUUGGGACUGAGAUACGGCCCAGACUCCUACGGGAGGCAGCAAUGGGGAAUAUUGCACAAUGGGCGCAAGCCUGAUGCAGCGACGCCGCGUGGGGGAUGACGGCCUUCGGGUUGUAAACUCCUUUCGCUAGGGACGAAGCGUUUUUGUGACGGUACCUGGAGAAGAAGCACCGGCUAACUACGUG